rnacentral:rRNA from 1 species
AACGUAGGAGACAAACGUUAUCCGGAGUUACUGGGCGUAAAGGGCGUGUAGGUGGUUUCGUAAGUCUGGCGUGAAAUAUCUCGGCUUAACCGAGGCAGGUCGUCGGAUACUGCGGAACUAGAGGACGGUAGAGGCGUGUGGAAUUCCGGGUGUAGUGGUGAAAUGCGUAGAGAUCCGGAGGAACACCAGUGGCGAAGGCGACACGCUGGGCCGUACCUGACACUGAUGCGCGACAGCAUGGGGAGCAAACAG